GAAAAAAGGAAGGAGGAAGUAACUUGUGGAAUGCUGAGAAAGAAGAAGCCAUUUAGAUUUUACAGAAAUGUAGCUCCUCAUACAUUAUAUUGUUCCUAUGAAGAAUUAGAUUGAAUAAAGCUGCUUUGAAUAAAGCUCGUAUUACCAGCUACCACAUGUGAUGGAAAGAAUCCAAGUUAAACACUCUCACCAGAGCAUGCUCCAAGACAGAUGACUGAGCCCCAGGCUUGGCCAAUACAAUGCACUUCUAUUCUCUAUUUAUUUUUGUAGUUCAAAGACCUGGCAGUAACCCACUUGAUGCCUGCCAUAAGGACCAGUACACUCCUGAUUACUGCCCAGCGAUUUUAUAUCUGUAUGCCAGCUACUCAGACCACGUAUAAAGACUAGGGGGAUUUUUUGAAAGGAAAAGAAACCCCGGCUUCCACUUAUACUUUGAAAUUUCAGAUGAUGUACUGCCAACUUACAGACCUUGCUUUAAUCAGCAGCCACAUGAAAAGGCUGUUUCUAUUUACUCUAGGUCAUUUAGGAAACAAGCAAUAAGUAGGCCUUGCAAAAUUUCAGCUUCUCUUAAAGUUGGCAUGUUUUCCUCAAAUAGAGAGUUGAAUCUUGAUUUCA
rnacentral:lncRNA from 1 species